AAUGCUGGAUUCUUUCUGUUACUUUCAAGUAUUUUCUUGAGGGAGAUUUAUACUCUACAGAACACAAUAAUGGUACUUUGAUUGCACUUCAGUUUUGCUCUCUCUUAAUGUAUAUCGUACAUUCAUGUUAUCCCAAACCUGCAUGAUUUUUCAGCAGUCUGGGAUAGGGUUCUAAGAUUGAUAUCACGCUAACUAGGUGUUUUCUGUGUUGCACUCAUCUUUUCUCUGCUAUUUAACAUUGUCUUAUUUUUGCUGAAGUUGGUGGGCAAAACUCUUGGCAAAGGAGUCGGAAUAACAUGGGAAGAAGCUAGGAUUCAGUAAAAUUGCCUAUGCUGCUGGAGCCUGUUCGACCAAUGUUUGUGGGUGGAUCUCCAUUGGAUGAGGGCGGCGAGAUGCUAGGGACUGUACUAUGGUGAUUGUUGCUGGCGCUAGUUCAGGUCAGGUCAACAGCGGCGGCGGUUCAAUUCAGGUUAUUUGAGUGUUGCCAAUCUUUAGAUUACUGCUCUUCACUGAUCUUCCCUGUAUUUUUACUAAUUUAUACAUUGGAUUUUCAGAAAACACGAACUGCUCUGCUUUACUAAAAGUUGGAUCUCUGUAAGUCAUCUUAUUUAACCGGUUAUUCCUAAGUAGCAAUAAACUAAACACUUGUGCAGUAGAAAAUAUCAUAAAUGAUAAACGUGCAUGGCUACGAGUGCUUUCUCUUUGGCACUAAGCCAUCUACAAAUAUUCUUCCUUAAUUUCAUUAUGUAUUUGAAUACAAUUAAAACAUGUUACAAAAUGGAAGCAUUGUUUGGCUCUACAUGCCUUUUUUUCUUGGUUGCUAAUUAAUAACUGCUCUCAUAAUGUCUUGCAUGUUUACCAUGAUAAAGGUUUAAUGGGUGGAGGGACCGCUGCUAAAAGAUGUAAAGAAGUGGUCUUAGCACUGGAAGCUUACUGUCUGAAUCGCAAGGAUCUAAGAGUAGGGAAGCAUAUAAAUUACUGAACGUUAUGGUAGACUCCAAGGAUCUAAGAGUAGAGAAGCAUAUAAAUUACUGAACGUUACGGUAGACUGCAUAGUAUUUGUCACAACGAUGUUUACAGUGUGUUCUCUAAUCUAAUACACUGUCCAAAUUAUUUUUUAUCUGUCAUUACAGUGUGGCAAAUGGAAGGAGAGAUCCUCGCGAACAGGCCUAAUCUGUUUAAAAUGACUGAGCAAGCAACUACCCACAACCCCACACACUAAUGGAGCCAAUGCUGACUAGGUGCUUACCUACAUGUCAGCACUGAGGCAAGUAAAAAAAUUCCAAUUCAGUCUGGAUAGGUUGCGAUUCUAUGCUCCUAAUUUUUUUUUUCCUCCAAAAAUGGACUUCAGUAUGUUUCAAAACACUAUAUGCUUUCAAAAUUUAAGUAUGGCUGAUAUUCAAAAUUCAUGACAACAAAUAAGGCGCUUAGGUUCUUAUGUGCAAGAUUACAAAAAGCUGAUGUUCUGCGUUCAUCAGGUGCAUUGAAAUGUAUAUGCUUGAUUAUAUUGUAUUCACCAUGUGUGAAAUCAAUUGUUAAUUUUAACCUUAGCCAUGGAAGUAUACUGCUGGAAUGUAAAGUAUCGUGUCUAACGACUUUCACUCCCUUUAUAUUUCUCUGCACACACACGACUUUCACUCCCUUUAUAUUUCUCUACAAAGGUGUGUGCGCCACCAUAUUUUACUGUUGAUACUUUGGUCUCUCAAAUGCCGCACAGUUAAAACGUAGCACCAUUUCUCAGAUGAAAGAACUGCAUUCUAAGUUUCCAAUAAAAUUUGACAUGAAUGUGGAGUCAGCAGUUUCUUAUUAACAAUUCUUCUAUUGUACUAAGUGGAUGGUGUUUCUUAUUUUUCUUGCAUUUUCACCGUAACAUCCUAUUCACAAAUCAUAUUUGUUUGCACAUUCAGGUUUGACAUCCUAUUCACAGAUCAUGCUAUUUAUGGUAGGAAAUUUUUAAAUUGUUUCCUUUUUGUUAUUUAUCAAUUUUUCAUGUUUUCUUUCUUCAUUAUCUAUUUCAUGACUUUGAAGAACAAUGUGAAAACUAUUAUCUUGGUUACGAGAAGUCAAAGGAGAUACCUAAACUUCAAUGGAUAUUGGUAUCUAUAAAAUUUUUGCUCAAGACUAAUCCAUAGAUUAGCCAAAGGGGUUCACAUUAAUUCCUUGAUUAUAGGUCCUGAAGGUUCUGCAUAUGAGAACAAGUCCACUGUUGAAGACCAAGAGCAUACAAAAAUACAGAAAUGGCGUAAACAAAUCCUCGACAUAUUUGAUGUUUUGCUAGCUGGGAGAAAAAGUGAAAAGUGGACGCCCUGGACUUUUUCUUUCAUUGCUUGACAUUUUUUAUUCCGGCAUAACUGAAGGUGAGCAAAGACUGGACAAAGACAUGAAAUUUGGGUUAGUAGACAUGGUGCCCUUUCAUAAUAAAGUUAUGUUGGUACCAAUAAAAGGUUAUUCUGCUAUAUCCUUUCAUGUUAGCUCAAUGCACGGAGGUCUGAAUGUCCACAACAAGAUAAGUGCAUAUAUUAUCAUGUGUUUCCAUGUACGUGUUAUCCUCAAUAGCACGGAUGUUUAUAUAAUCUGGCAUUAACAAACUUAUCAAUGUUAUGGAUCAGUAACACAGAACAUUGAGAUAUUUAUGCUCUAUAUAUACAUGAUAAGUCUGUCGUAUGUGGACUUUGUUCCAUUUUGAGGACAUAACCCGCUUAAAUGUGAACUUUGAUGCAGUCAGUUGAUAUUGAAAAUAAAUUUUAGCAUAUGGCCAAGUAAACAGAAAUAUUCUAAUACCAGCUCGCUCUCAAGCCUGUUGGCGCCCUUAUUUCUUGGUAACAAAAGAAAUAACAUAGACGUACACAUAGGCAUCUUAACGGGCGCGGCGUGCCGCCUACUAGUAUAAGUAAUAUGUACAAUGUCAGGAGAGGUUGUGUGGCGUGGUGGUUAGUUCAUCAUGCAUUGAAACAGGAGGUCAGUGAUUCGACUCACCAUUUGUAGACACCAAAGAAAAAAGACAUACAGAAUAAACAGAUAAAUGGACCAGCCCAGCUCACGCGGCUGCACUAUAACCGACGCGUGCAGCGCCAAAUAGGGUUUGCCGUACGCGCUGGUUAGCUUCGGCCCUUUUUUUUAAUAACACAGAGGUGAAAAUGAUGGAAAAGAAAAACGUAAUGAACUUUCCUGAAAAGAAAAAUUAUACCAAAAAUCUUAAAAUGAAAAAAAUAUAGAAAAAUAUGAACUAUUUUUCUUAGCCAAAUAAAAUACUUUAGAAAAUUACUUUUUGAAAAUUCCAAAAAGACUUGGAGUUUGAUUUUCAAAUCUUUUACAAACAAUUUUAUGUUUUCCAUUUAAAAAUAAACUUCAAUUUUUCCUAUGACUUUUGAAGGGUCAUAUUCCUUCUCCCUCUAUUUCUUUAUCUGAGGAUUUCAAAAUUCAAUAGGGAUUCAAAUGGAAAAAUUAUGGGAAACUCUUUUUAUUCCCUCACUUGCCACUUCCACCCAAACUACAUACGACACAUCGUCCUUCUCAGCCUAUGUCGUGUCCACGUCUACAACCUCACUCGCCACUUCCACCCGAACUACAUGCGGCAUUAUGAUGGGAGGCACUCCUCGAAACAGGCUUUCGCCCCGCUUUAUAGAUAAAGCACACAUAACAGAAUCCAAGUAACAUGUCCGAACAAAGAAAUAAAAAGAUAGUCCGCUGGGGCAACAGCACAUUCCAGCCCAAGAAAGGAAGAAGAAGCAAAAAAGGCCCUCACGGGGACAGGCUAGGCAGCAAGCAAGGGAGAGGAGAGCCGUCGGGCGGCCGCCAUCAACGCGUCCAGGAAGUGCUGA